ACUUGGGCCAUCUGGCUAGGACAUCUGUCAACCUCUUGAACUCCAGGUUCGACGGGGCUGAUUUCUGGCUGGGUAGGUUGCUGUGCCCUUCCUCCUUCUUGGUGCAUAUGUCUCACUGCCAAAGCUGCAUACCCUGAUGGCAAGAUGGGCCUUUCCCCAGAGAGGAGGAUGGUCCUCAGGUCAAGGACAUAGGAGCAAAGGGACAGGGGAAAUCUGUUUGGAUAGCAUCACAGGUCUAAGAAUUUCUUCAUUCUUUGAUAUUUGAAAAAAAUAUCUGACUAUGCAGAAAAUUCCAGUUGAGAAAUUCAGAAGUUC
rnacentral:sRNA from 1 species